CAUGGAUUACUGUGUUCGACCAGGAAGACAGCAGUAUUGUGUGAAUUUCAUCUGGUCAGAGAAUAAAAUGAAAGCCAAUGGAAAGUCCCUGCCCCAGCUCACCACAGGGGACUUCCAGUGUUCCUCAAGGCUGGCUGAACCCAGAUGGCUGUGCUGA
rnacentral:lncRNA from 1 species